rnacentral:ncRNA from 1 species
UAGCGUGUAGCAGCUACAUAUUCUCAUAGCAAUGUUGCUUUUUGAUCCUUCGAUGUCGGCUCUUCCUAUCAUGCCGUAGCAGAAUCUGGAAAGCGUUGGAUUGCUCACCCACUGAAUACGACGAAGUGGUGUCUUUGGCAUAAGUCGGGAC